rnacentral:rRNA from 1 species
GACGAACGCUGGCGGCGUGCCUAAUACAUGCAAGUCGAGCGAAUGGAUUAAGAGCUUGCUCUUAUGAAGUUAGCGGCGGACGGGUGAGUAACACGUGGGUAACCUGCCCAUAAGACUAGGAUAACUCCGGGAAACCGGGGCUAAUACCGGAUAAUAUUUUGAACUGCAUGGUUCAAAAUUGAAAGGCGGCUUCGGCUGUCACUUAUGGAUGGACCCGCGUCGCAUUAGCUAGUUGGUGAGGUAACGGCUCACCAAGGCAACGAUGCGUAGCCGACCUGAGAGGGUGAUCGGCCACACUGGGACUGAGACACGGCCCAGACUCCUACGGGGGGCAGCAGUAGGGAAUCUUCCGCAAUGGACGAAAGUCUGACGGAGCAACGCCGCGUGAGUGAUGAAGGCCUUCGGGUCGUAAAACUCUGUUGUUAGGGAAGAACAAGUGCUAGUUGAAUAAGCUGGCACCUUGACGGUACCUAACCAGAAAGCCACGGCUAACUACGUGCCAGCCGCCGCGGUAA